rnacentral:rRNA from 1 species
UGGUGGAGUGAUUUGUCUGGUUAAUUCCGUUAACGAACGAGACCUUAGCCUACUAACUAGUCGAGCCAAUCUCCGAUUGGCCGCGACUUCUUAGAGGGACUUUGUGGCUCCAAACACAAGGAAGUUUGAGGCAAUAACA